UUUAUCGCGAGGCUACACUUUACAUGCCAAUGCGGCGGUGGCAGGAGGGUAUAUGUGGCGGGGCAGCGGCGGGGCAGGCACAUUUCUCUCUCCGUCAGUCUCCGCGGUGGUCGUGAUGGUCAGCUCCACACAAGCCGUGGUGGUGGUGGUAGCGAUAGCAGUGGUGGUGGUGGCUCUACUACCGGAGACCGCCACCGGUAUGCCCCAGCUGAAGAGUGAGAGGCGUAAACUCAGCCCCUACGCCCUCAGGAAGACUUAUGAUAAUUACCCCUUGAAGGGCUUCCUCCCCCACGUUCUCCCUUGCUGUUGGUAUGGCUACGACACUGAAGGCCACUCCAGGAACGGGCGGGACGUGUCGAAGCUCAUCCCCAAUAUAGAGGAGAUUCCAACAAUGUAAUACUUGGUGAGUCUCUCCUCUCCAGACGCCAUCCCUGUAAUAUGAAGCAGUACUCGACUCUCUAACUCGACCAUGUCAAUACCAAAGAAUGAUGCAGUAAGGUCUCACAUCUAACGAGCAACAGGCACCAAAAACACGCGUUAGAUGAGAAUCAGUUAGAUGUGAACUCGUUAAAUGCAAGAUUUUACUACAGGUAUACUUUCCUUUACAUUAACACAAGAGAAGAUGGCGCCACUAUAAACACCUGCCUGCGCCAAUACGAGCUGGGGCCGACUACCAUCCAGACCCCUCAAGCAAGCCUACCGGCGCUAUAGGCGUAGACGUAAAAAAAAAAAAUGCAUGCAGAAACUAACGAAAACUAUAAAAGCACCUAUUCAGAUUCAUAUAUAAUUAUACAAUGCUAAUUCAUAGGAACAGUUUUUUAGUAGUUCCUUCUUUUCAUAUUCAGCCUUUAUAGAAAUUCAGUAACUCAUAUUUACCUGCUUCCUUCUUU